AGGGGUACAGCUCAGUGGUAGAGUUCUUGCCUAGCAUGCAUGAGACCCUGGGUUCCAUCCCCAGCACCACAA
rnacentral:tRNA from 1 species